rnacentral:tRNA from 6 species
GCCGCUUUAGCUCAGCCGGUAGAGCACCGCAUUCGUAAUGCGGGGGUCAGGUGUUCGAGUCACCUAAGCGGCACCA